UGUUGUCUGCACACUCUUUUGCCCCUGCACUUGCUAGCCGUUUCACCAUGGGCUUGUUCGGUUAGUCUUCAAUUUUAAGAGGAUUGGAAGGAGUUAAGUGAGAUUUUGACCGAAAUCCCCUCUAAUCCACUUGGAUAGGAGACUAACCAAACAAAUCAUGUUUGUGAUUCAAAAGAAGUGAGCAGUGGCAAAAAGGUCAGGAUCAGGAUUCCAUUGUUAACGUGCAAAGUGGAUGGAGCACUUGCUAAGUGUAUCGAGUUAGCUCGGUGGUUAUUUCAUGAAUUAUUUUAUUUCUAACACACCGUGAUUCUUCAAUGUUAUGGAACCAAUCUUCCAAAUGUUUAAUAUAUAUUUUGAUAUUUUUUUGGUUUUUUUCUUGGAAAGAUACCUAUCAAGCCCUACAUUUUCUUCUAACAUAACAUCAGCAUGAAUUUUCUAUUUCAGGUUCCAAUCAUCCUUUUUGGUGCUCCCUAUUUUCAAAGCGAAAUAGUAACUUUGCAGUAGCAGACAAGAGAGGUCUUUCAAAAAAAGACAAGAGAGGUCCUGAAAAUGUGUCUUAAUAUGUGUCCAGACAAUUCGUUCACGUGUCAUAGUAUUCAAUAACUAACAUACUGUUCUUCACAUAUUUUGAGAUGUUUCCUUUGUUUCCUAGGAUUAUAGAGUACAAAAUAUUCUAUCAAGGAUACUCAUAAUUGUCCCCUUGAUAUAUUGCUUCUUUGUCACGUUACUAAGGAACACUCUUUUCCUCAUACAAGCAUCUAAAUUUUGAGAGAGAGAAAAAACAAAUAGGAGAAGUUGAAGUAUGAAAUUAUAUUUAAAAAUACUCAACCUAUAUGGGGGAUAGUCUCUUCUGCGGUAUUGUAUUAAGAAGAAACUUCUCACGUGCGGGCCGAGAAAACACUCCAAAAGGCUAGCUGCCCUAGACGUGCCACAAGGUGAAAUAGAAAAUUAUGAUUAAUGAUGAAUAGUUGUAAAAUAAAGAUAUCCUUAUUUUUCAUUUUUUUUUUCUAAAAGUAGCCACAUUUUCUAUUUUGGGGUGUUUCCUACUUUAUCAUACCAUCCUGUUUUGAGAAGUUUACACUUAGAGAUUCCCCUACUAAUUUAAAGCAAGUGGGAGACAAAGCAGAGGGCCCCUGAAAAUAUCACGAAUCUGUUGUCAAUUUCUUGAAAUUGACUUAGCUUUAAGCGACACCACAAUCACCAACAAAUAUGUCGAAUUCAUAUAUAACGCCUAAUUCUUCUUUACCAUCAUGGAUUGUGAUAUCACAAACUUUUUUCCGUUUACACUCCUUGCUCCUAUCUCCUUUCAAAAUUCAUAAAACACACGUCAUUUCUUAAAGUAAGAUAGUGUAGUCCUUGAAAUUUCCGUCUUCAUGGAGGCCACAUGUUUGUCUUUUGAAUCUACAUUGGCAACACUCUCAUUCUCAGCAGGACCCUGAGACAACUGACAACAAACCUUGAAUAUUGCUGUCAACUUCCAUGCCGCCUGAUUGGUGGUCCCACCACCCUCUCCACGAGCCAUCGCUGGCCACAAGUUUCAGGAGAUGGGGCCCGCAGUGACAUUCAGGGUGGGCCCACAUACGUCACUAGGACAGAUUUAGAUUCCCUAGGAAAACCAUAUUGGCCAAGUGUGUUGAGAUUUUCUUGGCUGAAGAACAAGAGCGUCAGGCCCCAACUCACCUCAUCACCAGUAAGAAAAAGAUUUCAGGGUGCCGUCACAGAGACUCAGAGAGUUUUGUUAUCAGGGUGCAGGUCAGCUGUUGUUGUCGUCGUCCUAAGAAUGUAUAUUAGGGCAAGUGGUCCUAAUCGAAGAAGGUGGUGGUCGACAUGCAUGCCCCAAGUUCAUCAUCAGUUUAUUUGAUCAUUGUUGGUGAUAUGUUAGUUUGGCAUAAGUUUUAGGUAGUUUGAAGGUUUUAUAAUCAGAAACUAUGGCCCUCCACUAGUCCACUUGAAUGAACUCAUUGCCAGCAGCUUGGUGGAGGCAUCAU
rnacentral:lncRNA from 1 species